rnacentral:rRNA from 1 species
AGAGCGAACGCUGGCGGCAGGCUUAACACAUGCAAGUCGAGCGGGCGUAGCAAUACGUCAGCGGCAGACGGGUGAGUAACGCGUGGGAACGUACCUUUUGGUUCGGAACAACCCAGGGAAACUUGGGCUAAUACCGGAUAAGCCCUUACGGGGAAAGAUUUAUCGCCGAAAGAUCGGCCCGCGUCUGAUUAGCUAGUUGGUGAGGUAAUGGCUCACCAAGGCGACGAUCAGUAGCUGGUCUGAGAGGAUGAUCAGCCACAUUGGGACUGAGACACGGCCCAAACUCCUACGGGAGGCAGCAGUGGGGAAUAUUGGACAAUGGGCGCAAGCCUGAUCCAGCCAUGCCGCGUGAGUGAUGAAGGCCCUAGGGUUGUAAAGCUCUUUUGUGCGGGAAGAUAAUGACGGUACCGCAAGAAUAAGCCCGGCUAACUUCGCGCCAGCACGCCGC